rnacentral:lncRNA from 1 species
GGCUUGGUUGGGCUGUACUCGGAUCUCGCCGCCUCUGCAUUUCCCGAGUCACUGGUGAAGAGGUGAUGAUUUUUUUUUUUUUUGAACUGGGUUUAUGUGCGUCCCCCUCACCCCCUCCUCUCUCUCUCUCUCUUUUUUUCUUUCUCUGUCUCUGUCGUCUCUCUCGCUGCCUUUUUAAAAAUGAGGAACCAUUCUCUGAACGUUUUGGACAGAGCACAGAAUUGCUUCUUAAGUCUGCCCAGCGCGGUUGCAAUAGACAGCAAAAAGGUAAACGUUUGCCUGAAAUCCGCACGUCAGCUCCACCACCCCGCCCGAUGGUGAGUACCCUUCUCCUUGCGAUUCUCCUCUUAGCUUAACCGAGCGCUCGCCUUCCCGAACCGCGGCCGAGGGCGAUCCGCAGGGUUUUCCUCCCUCCUUCCCUGCCUGCCUGGCUGUCAGUAGCACAAGGUUGCAAAAUGAAGCGCAGAAGCAAAUCGAACAGUAAAUUCUGAUACUUGGUGCGAGCCUAGCAGCUCCUUUGAUAGAAAACCGAGUCGUCUGCUGCUUGGAAAACCAGGCUCAUAGGACCGGUUUUCAGUUUGCUCUAUAGAAAGAAAUGAGUUUGAGAAGACAGGACAAGGAGAUGGAAGGCACCGCAGUCUUUAUGCUUUGGUUUAAUCAUAUUUUGGCAGCUUUGCGAUUGUAUUUUCCCCCUCUCCUCCUUCCAUCACUUCUACCACACACAUGUAAUAAAAUAUGGCAAUGCACUGAAUUGACUCUGUUCCCCCUUCCCCAAACCCCUUAAACCACAGUCCUAGGCAUUUCACACACAUUAGCAAACCGAUUUUCUGAAAAGCCCCAAGUCAUCCCCAACCCCACACAGCACAAGGAGAAAAGACAGAAAGAGGAAAAAAAUACUGUAAGUAAACAUACCAAAACCAUAUUUGCCUUGUUCAAGGUCCCAAACCGCUUGCAUCUUCCUUCUAAACUGGAAUAACUCUCCUUUAGUUUGGCGGGUGAAAUAAACGCUUUGUUGGCCCUCUGAAAAGAUGUGUCUUUGAUAAUUAAAGAGAAUCUCCUCCUCGGUGUUUAUCUAAGCGAUUGUGCAAACUGAUAAAAAGUAGGCACUAGCCUGCAGGGAAAAAGAGGAAAGGUGAAGGGAGAGAUCUUCCACCUCAAGGAAGUGCUUCCCCAUGUAUUAGGCGCUCCCAGCCUUGGAAAACCCUGCACACUAACUUUAGAGAGACAAGGUUUCAGGGAGCUUUGUACAUAACUGCUGAGGAAUGCAAGCCUCGCCUUUAAGAAAAAAACCCCCAAACCGUAGGUAGGAGAUGUCUGGAGUGAUCCUUGUCUCUCAUCUCAUUCCUUAGAAGGAAGAGUGCGUUGUUACACCUUGUUUGGGGCUGGAAAGACGAGACUUUAAAAACACCCGUCCAAUUGAAAAAAAUCUCCCAACUUAAUGAGUUUAGUCGGAGGCUGGAGCAAAUGGCUCAGUCUUAGCAGAAAACCGCCAACAACUCUAGGCGAUAUUGCAAAGCAAGACGACCGGAGGCACAGCCAAAAUUCCACUGUUUGGGGUCGAGAGGGAUGGAGGCUAAUCCUAAAGCAAGUUGGGAAAAAAAUAGAGGUGGGAGAGGAGGGGGAAAAAGCAGCAGCCUCGGAGACUGGCAGACAGGCUCCUCUCACCCUGGAUCAAAGAUAGAACUUGAAACAGGAGGGCAAUAUUUUCCUAGGAAUCUGCUGGAAUCCUCAUUUUCUACUUCUAACUCAAGUCCCCCCAAGUGAUUUUUCCCUCUCCCCUGUGGAUCAGUGCCUCCCUCCCCUUUCUGGUGCCCAUUCUAGAACUUUCCUGAAGAGGAAAUGAUUUCUUUUUGGGGGGAGGGGUUCCCCAUUUCAUGCCUUAGUAUAAUGAAUGCUUAAUUCACCCCUCCCUUCAUCACUCCCCAAGAUGAAUAAAGGAAGCAGGAAUACAAUAACUAGCAAAAAUUUAGGAUAAACUAUGCUGCCUCUUGCUGUUUAAUACAGUUUUAACUAAUGGAUUUUUUGUUUUGUUUUGUUUUAAGAGAAGAAUAAUGGGGAAACACGGAUCUUUUAUUUUAGGAAACUGUUAUGGUAAGAUGUAUGUCAGACUUGACAAAUGGAACUAACGCUCUUGGGCUGCUUCUUGUCCUUGUCUUAAACAGGAAUUAAGUUAAACACAGUGCUGAAUGUUAAUUACAUGUUUACUGGCUAAUGAAAAUUACAAAUGGUUUUGCCACCUCAAACAAUGAUGAAAACUCUGAAGACACUGUAAUUAUAUACUUUGAGGGAAAUAACUCAGAAUAUUGAUCAUAAGAAGUGUAAAUCUUUUUAAAACUAUUCAUUAAUACCAUAAAUAUGGGCUACAGAAGUUUUUUCCUUGCGGUUUGUCUCAUCAGUUAUACUGAGUGGAUGGAUGGUAAGGUUCCUCUGGGGAGGUGGUGAACUCGUUCUCUUACUAGAAGGAGGCCACUUGUGUAACUCAGGGGUGCCCCCUCCCUUUCGUCCUGCCCCCUUCAACCCUAGUUGAAGGUCGCAGGAUCUUUGAAACUGAGGCCCGGCCCAGGGCAGGUGAAGGUGAUCACAGUCGGGCCUCUUCCCUCUCCUGCACUCUUCUUUCUUCUCCCCUCUCCCCCCUCCUUUUUUUUGCCAGGUCUGAUCGAUGACUGCCUUCCCCAGCCUGGGUGCCUGUGGGAUAAUCUGGCAUUCCGGUUUCCUAAUGGAAGAACAAUUAGACCAGGCAACUCACCACAACCUAGAGAUGCAUCCCUGACAACUUAAAGUUCUCUCCUUCAGAGGUGGUUAGGUCAGGUCACUGCAAAUGAAGAAGAAGGAAAAAAAAAUGGGUAUGGAGGUGGCUAUUGGGUAAGGUAGGUCAGGCUGCUGAAGCAGAACUGGUUUCCCUGGGUUUAGGAGUGAUAUUUUUUGUUGUCAUUUUGCUUUAACUUUGGCCAGAGUUGUAGCACUGGUGGCCACUCUAGUCUUGGUGGGGGGGUCAAAGGUGAAGCCUGCACUAACCCUAAAAGGCUGGCAGGGCUGGUCAGAAGGCCAAGCCGGUUGGGGAAUCAAGAUUGUUAGCCUGACUAGCUCUUCAGAGGGGGUGUCUGUGAAACUAGCAUGCAGGGAGCACAGCACAGAGUCCAGGUUUAAAGUGGAAUAUUGAAGAAUUUUUAAAUAGAGCCCUAGGCUUAUGGGACUGGAGUCUUCUUUUCCCCUGAGAAUUCCCAAGGCACUGGUCUUUGUCUUAGAAGGAAUGGAGUUUCUGAAUGGUGUGAAAGGGACAGAGAGGGUCGCUUCAAAUCGAUUUUACUUGUCCUUUCUGUCUUUUCGGAUCAACGCCCUUCAAUGGACACAGAGGUGCUCUUUCAACCAAAAACUUGUGCUACAUUUUCUGCCUGUAUUGGUGCUAAAUACAAUAAGCACUGGGCAGAUUUUUUUCUUUGCUCUCCAAAGCAGGAAAGCACCCUAAUUAAAUUGUUUUAUAUGGACAGUCAAGACCGACCAAUUAAGUAUGCAUUAGUAUGAAGAUAUAGUCUACAGAUAAGGCGGUUUAGAAAACCAUGUGUAGGACAAAGAAGAGGGCGCUAGUGCUUGGGAGGGGUGUGUGGACACAGCAAGGUCGAGCCCCUUCCUUUUGGGCCCCAGGGGAAUUGCAAAGGUCCAGGUUCCAGGUGAGGGGGGCAGGCCGGCUAACAGGUGGGCACCAGUGCCUCCACUCCAGGAACUGUGGAGCAUGAGGGGUUUGUCUUCUUCACAUACUACUUUGGUAAGGUAUCAGCACUCCGAGAGUAGAGGUGGUGGGUCCUCUUGGACACGGUGAGACCUUGCGGUACCCCACUCCAGGUCUGGCCCAUUUCCUGGUGUCCCAGGUCCAGGGUGUGGCUCGGGAAUAAUGACUAGGGCCAAGGAAACAUUGGCACUGCCAUAGCCAUGCAGCAACCCUUUGGCAGCCAAGAUCGGGAAGGAGGUCCCCUCUCAAUACCUCCAAGCUGAGGGUUUCUUUCCUUCUAAGGAAAGUGAAGUAUUUCAGACAGGAAAGUAAAGUUUCCAACCGACGCCACGCGGCCCGAGGGGCGUCGAGGACCAGACGAUGGAGUUGGGGAAAGGUCUCGCGAAAGGGUAGCGAAAAAAGGGGCUCCUGUUCAGCAAAUGUUGCUGUGGGUUUCUCCACUUGCUCUCGGCUCUCUGAGGGGUGGGCGGGCCGAGAGCGUCUUUCCGCGAAGAAGCCGACUCUGGUAGCAGAGGCUGGGGCCUCUCUGCUUCGCGGGGCAGGGCUGUGUUAGGUGGUCCCCAAGCCGCAAGGGCGCGAACGCGGCGCACUGCUUUAGGAAAGGUUCGCAGGGCGCUCAGCGCCCUUGAUAGCGGGAAGAGAGGGGAGGGGGCGAGAAUUAGAGUCUGGGGAAGUGGCUGAAUGUCAAAAGUAAAAAGGUUGAAAAGCCAAUUUUCCAGGCGCGCUUUGUCCCCCCCCCCCCCCCCCCCCCGCCCCCGUGUGGGUUGCACAGGCUGUAAAUCAGCGGCUGGUAGCAGGGGCGGGAGGAGCCCCAUCCGAGGGCUUGGCGCUGCCCCGCCCGGACCGUGCACACCUCCCGGUGGGCCCGGAAUCGAUCCAAAGCCUAGCUGAGGAUGUCACCGCACUAAAUAUUUACUGAUCACACACAAAUAGCCGGGGCUCGAACGAUUUUCCUCUGUGAGGAGAGCGCGGAGAGAAGGGUAAAUCAUUUUAUUAGUGUGGAUAAAGCCCAGAGCACACUCCGGGCUGGAGUGUUUUAAGAUGUGUCUUCAACGGGAUGAAAAGAGUUAGGGAAAUCGAUACGGAGUGAUUAGAAGCCCCCGGGGUGACGAAGGGGGACGGGGCUGGAAGGGGGGUUGUAAGUCUCAAGGGGGGCGGCCUGACCACCGCCAGGGAGCUCCUGGGCGCAGGCCUCGGUCCUCUCAUCGACGGGAGAUGCGAGGGCGCAGCAAGCGGCAGGAACCCGCAGCCACCCGGCUUCGCAGGGCAGGCACCGUGGGAGGGCUGCUGGGCCGCCGCAGGGCCGAGUGCUUGGGAGCCUUGGACUCCACGCCUCCAGUGGCGGUAGCCAGGUGGAAGCCUAGGCGGGCGUGACGCAGGGACGCGGGCACAUUUCGCCACACGCGCUGUCUCCAGGCAGCCUGGGGUUGCAAAGGUGUAGCCCCAAAGAGUUGCUUUCUCCCCCUGGCAUUUUUUGGGUUCCUCCCAGCUUGACCCGAGACUUUCCGAACUUUCUCUUUGGUAAAUCUCUGCCUCUCAUCUCCUUUAGUAUUUCUAAAGAGGAUUCAGUGGCUCAGUCCCCAAUAACUGCUUUUCCACCCACCCACCCGGAGAAUACCCGCCGGUGGCGGAACCCGUUGGGGACUGCAGGACGAGUGGAUUUCAGGUUCAUCGGCCGUGGGCAGGUGGGACGGACGAAGUCUGAGGCCCGGAAAGAAAUCAGGAGGCAGGGUGACACACAUCAAUGAAGCCCCAGGAUGGCUCCUUCUCUCCCGGGCAGGAAACUAGCUUUUGCGGGUUCAAGGCCACACCCCAAGGGAUGGGAAGCCGUCUUGGGCCCCAAGGCUGAGUGCAACUAGCCAAAGUGGUGGAGAUGUAAAGGCUUACAGAACUCGCAGUAAGCUUUGGUAGUGGGGGCCAGAUUUCCUGGAAGGGAGAGAAAACCCUUUCCUCCCAAACUCAAGCAGCAGAGUCCUGGCGCGAAAAUGGCUUUUCACUUUUUGAAGCGCUAGUCUUUCGGGCUACUGUGAACAAAUCUUGAGGUUCGAGAAACAGCUGCAAAUAAUCAAGAAAGCACUAAUUUCUCGAGCGGAAGGCGGGGAAAGAGGAGAAUAAUUUUCGUUUCUUCUUUUCGCGCUCCUAAUGUUUUCCCCAAAAUACAUUUUCCCUGAAGAAAUUGAUAGCUACCUGUAUGUAUGUACGUGUGAAUGUAUUGAGAAACGUUCAUCACCCACCCCAUUGCUUUAUUUUCUUGGCAGCUUGAAGGAUUCAGUUCAGAUUGCCCUGCUUGGCUCUUCAGUGCAACAGGAAAUAGAGCUGCAGAUCCAAUUAACCGUUUUCCAGAAAGGAGAUAUAUAUAUAUAUAUAUAUAUAUAUAUAUAUAUAUAUAUAUAUAUAUAUAUAUAUAUGAAUCCCAAUGGAUUGGAGUGUUGUGUUCAGGUGUGAGGUGUGAGGUGCCUCGAAUUCCUUCCUCAGUAAUCCUCUGAUUUCUGCUUUGGAAGCUCGCAAUCACCGCUGACCUGGAGUGGUGUCAGGAGCCCGGUCUCCAUUAACCCUUUUUGGUCUUGGCCAGAGUGAAGGUUAACUACACUAAGCAACCAAAAGGAGUUGUAGAAAAAGGAAGCAAGCAAGGGAGUAAGGGAAGAAAGAAGGGAGAAAAAUAAGGAGCGAUGGAAAAUAGGAAAGAAGGAAGGAUAAAUACACUCUAGUUGCAAUAAUUUUAGAGCUAUAGUACUUCACUGCUCCUCCCCCACCUCCACCCUUCUAAGUCAACCGGGUUCCCACUGGAAAGAGACAACAGUCUCAUCCAUCAACACAGUAUACUCCAUGAAAACUGAACUUUAGGGAAUAAGAAGAUAGAAUGUAGUGAAAUAUUUCCUCUAUUUAACUGAAUACCCAGUUCACUUUAAAUAUAUGACUAAUAUGUAUGUAACUGAUUAUUGUGUGAAGGAAUUUUAAAAACAAACAAAACAAAAACCCAACAUAUAGUUUACUUUCUUUCAUCAAAGUAAAAGCUAAUUUAGAAUCUUGUCAGUAGCCAAAUUACAGCCAUAAAAUCUAGAUGAGAUUAGAAAAAUAUAUUCUGCUGGCUUCAAACCUGGUGGCACUUUAAUGGGUUGUAAUAUGAUAGUCAUGUGCAUGAGGUGUACACACUUAGGUGCAUAUAUAUUCUUGUGGUAUUAGAAGUUCCUUGAUGGAUUAAAGGUUCAUAUACUCAAACACUAGAUAGAGGCUGUCACUCCUGUACAUUCUGGGAGUCUAGCAGAAGGUAGUGCAACAGAGUUUUGAAUGAGCUUCUUGGAAUCACUAUUGUUGAAAUAGAAGCUGAAACAACUUAGUAAAACUAUUGUGGCUUGCAAAAUCAUAGAAAGGCACUUCAAAGUAAAAACACCAGAUUUACAGUUUGGUAGCUUUGGCAGGACAUUUAAACAAAAGUUAAGCAUCUUUUGCCUAAUAUAUUGAUUUUAAAAAUCAGGUGUAUGCUACUCUUUUUAAAAAACUUUUCAAUGGAUUACACAAUUAAAGGAGAAGAGGUUAGAGAUGAUGACACUUGGGGGGGCUUUGCCUAUUUGACCAUGUCUGAUAUGGGAUAUAUAUAUAUAUAUGCUUUUAAUAUUAAUAUUAUAUUCUAAGACAACUCCUUCUGAUAAAGUUCUAAAAACAUUUAAAGCUAUGUGGAUAUCAUCAUAAAGGGGCAGAGUAAGAAAUGAUGGUCUGAGUCUAUAUUUUUCACGAGCCUGCUAAUGAAAUAUUUAAAAUGACAGUUGAUUUUUGGCAUCCCCCCCCCAAAAAAAAAGUAUUAGUCAAAUGGUAUCAAAGGCCAUUCACUUAAAUGUGAAGGUGCUAGGCACAUAUCCAGAUAAAUUAAUAUUGUUAAUUAGCUGCAUCAGUGUACUUCAAGAAAAUACAAGCAGAAUAACAAAUAGGGAUUUAUUUCAUUGACUUUCUUUUAACCACAAUUUCAAAGUGAAUUUCAAAAGAAGAAAUAUGAUUUAAGAAGUAAUUCCUUCUCGGUUGUUUUUUGGAUUUAUUUUAAAAUAAAAGAGACAGUUUCAGUAUAAAGCAUAUAACUUGAAAAUAAGAUGACCAGGGACAGACAUACACAUGAUAUGGAUAGACACGCAAUAAAAAAACAUUGUGCAUGAAUUUAGAAAACAUUUAAUUAAUUACAUUACCAACCUCAUUUCUCUUCUUAGAAAGCGUGAUUUCUUGAAAUGCUGAAAGUACAUCUUAAAAAUUAAAAAAAAAAAACUGCAAAAUUAAGUGAAAGUUUUUUAACAUCAUGUUCAAUUUCUUGGCCAUAGGAAAUAUUAACUUGAGAGUUUACAAAGUGUAUUGUUUGAAGAAAAUUUACAUUGGACUUUUUAUUUUCAACACAGAGUAUUAUCUAUUAUAAUUUACUGUAAAUUAAUAAAUCUUUUUCAAGAGAUUUCUGUGUACCUGACUAUGGCAAAUUGAUUGAGAUGAUGUCACUUUAAGUGAUUAAAGCAAAACUGAAAUCAUUACAGGAGGGAAAUAUUGACUUCAGUGACAAAUGUCACAUAGGGUAUUUCUUGACAAGAUCACAGGAUAUCACAUGUCAAAGAAAAGUUAAAAUAUUAGGGGACCCUAAUUCUUUGCAGAAUGUAUGUUAAUAACUUAUUUACUUAUUCCCAGUGAUAUGUUGUGGUUUUCCAUUUUACAUACACUUUGUUGCCACAUGACAAACUAAUUAAAAGUAUUGUGAAAUAUAAGCAGUAAGGGGUUUAAAAGUAUUUUUUCUUCAUGACCUCUUGAAUGAUAAAAACUUAUAUACUCAUUGAUUUUUUUUCUUGUGAUUUUGGUUAAUUCAAUGGCUCUUGAAGUCAUGUAUUAUGUUGCAAAAGUCUGCACUGUGUAUAAAUUGAAAAUAACUUUGAAGGCAUCAGCUUUUUUUAAGGAAGUGCAAUUGAAUGUUCAGUUACUGAAGAGCUACUAUUUAAAUCCCAAGUUAUAUUGAAAACAAACAUCGAAACCUGUUCUUCUUUCCUAACAAAUCUUAAAAUUGUAAUUGGCAUGACUGUGGAUGAAUAUCUAAUAUAAGAGCCUUUAACUCUCUUUUCCUAUUUACCCUGGAAAUGUCUUUAAUUUGUCUUCUAAGCUUAUGUAAUUUAAAAAGCAUUAGUUAGUGUACAAGAAUUAUCCACCCUCAGUGAAAAAAAAAAUUUCACCCUCAGUGAAAAAAAAUUCUAAUCAUAGAAAAGAGGUGUGAUGUUUAUUCUGAAGUUUUGGUAACAUACAAAGUUUUCUUAGUAAACUAGAAAAAACUAUCCCUGACAAAAUAUAAUAGGGCAGCUGUUAGGUAUGGUUUUUUAUUCAUAUCUUCCUGCCCUGUUGCCACUGGUACUGUGGUGUUUGAAUUUUUGUCUUCAUCCACUGUCUAUUGUUAACAGUGAAUUUUUGAAAUAUACAAAAAAAAUCCAAAUUGUAUUGCUUCUAUAGCUGAAUACAUUAUUAAAUUAAAAAAUAAUAUUCACUUUUGUUUUCAAAGUUGUAUGUCCAGGCAAUAAUGAGGUGAGUUUGUGCAAAGUGCAUCACCCCUAACAAACAAAACAAAACCUUUGCAUCUAUCAGCUAAAGAGAAAAAAAAAAGUUCUCAGAAUUCAAAUAUAAAUGUGUUGUUUUUAUAAUUGAACUCUGGACAAGAUUUUAUUACAUAUCUACUAUCUACCAAGAUGAAACACACACACAAAUAUAUAUAUAUAUAUAUAUAUAUAUAUAUAUAUAUAUAUAUAUAUAUAAAAUUUAAAAAAUUUUAAAUCAAGUCCUAUCAACACAUGAUUGUAGGUUCUUUGAAGUAAAGGGAGAUCUGAAAAAUAAGCCUCCAAAAUAAAGAGAUAAGCAGCAGGGCAUUAUAGCUUACCUUAGUUUUUAGAGAUGUUACAAAAGUAAUCUUUUAAAAAUAACAAUAUCAUGCUUUUUCUUCAAGUACAAAAUGAGAUGAUAAUGGGAGAAAAAAGAAGAAGCUCCCCUCCAACUCUUUCCUACACAAACCCCCAAACAACCACAAACAAAACAAAAUAAAACCCAUCUCCUAAGUUCCCCAGAAAAAGCCCCUUACAACUUUGGAAAAGUUUUUGUAUAAGUGGGGGUCCUGCCAAGGCUCCCAAUUGGUCAAAUGUUUUCUUUUCUUUUUCUUUCAUUUUUUUUUUUUUUUUAACUCAGCGGGCAAUGGAUAGACUGUAGUUAGCAGCCUAGAGAAAAAGGCCUGACAUUGGGAGCUCAACUCCAAAGACCUACCCUUAGAGAUAAAUUUGGGACAGCAACUGUUGAAUGUUAACCUCUCCUUUCUGAAGGGGAUUUGCAGAAGCAGGACACUGAGAGCUGAUAUAGACAAUUUUUUUUUUCUUUCUAAGGCAUUUCUAACUUUUAUGAUUCCCCCCCACUCCACCUCCUUCUUUUACUAUCUCUCUUUGUGCCUCCAGGGCCAGUGAAAGAGCAGGGCAGAUUCUAGAUUGCUUUCAGAGUUUGCCUUCUCUGAUGAUGGAUUACCAUGUCAAUUUAAACGGCAUAGGAUUAAUUUGUUUCAAUGAUUUCUCUUUAGGCUGAAUGCCAGCCGUUUUUCUAUCUCUCCUCUUGCUCUUCAGAACACAACUGAGAGAGAGAGAGAGAGAGAAGAGAGAGAGAGAGAGAGAGACUGACUUCUUUCCAUAUUCUAUGUUGGGAGAGAGACAGUAAUAGAAAUAGACAAGUUAGGUGUAACAUUGCAACAGAGUUAUAGGUUUGAGUGUUUUUAUCUCUGCCUAAGAAGCUGAAACAUACAGCCAGUCACAUUAAAGUGAAAUUGGACUCAACAUUUAUUCAAUAAAUACUUGUGUUAUAGAUAAUCCAGUACAGAGUGCUUUUGACACAUAAGGACUUAAUUUGUCUUGGAUAACAAGUUAUUAAUAUGGCACAUUUAAACUUGCCACCUACAAUAAGGUUAUUGAGAUCUAUAAUAACCUAAAUGAUCAUUGUGAAAAAUAGUUUGGGUGAGAGAGGAAGAAUUUUUUAGACUGUAUAACUUUAUCUUAUAUAUAUCAACACAUAAGCACACAUGCAUGUGUGUGCCCCCUAUCUCCAGAUCACAUACAUGACAAAAAAAAAUUCAGUGAAGUUGAAAAGUUCCUUCCAUUAUGCAGAUGUAGCUAACCUUCCAAAACCAAGACUGUGUCAGAAAGUAUUUUUCUCUUUUGAAUUAUUUCUGACAUGCACAGGAAACAUGCUGUUCAGAUCUACUUUCUUUGCAAAACUAACCCCAUUAUGAAGUUGAAAAUGGCGCCAAAAUGCACGAAGGUGCAUCUGAAAUCAGACACCCCUCCAUCUUUUUCACCUAAAGUUGCAGCCAGCCAGUGCAUGUUGCUGAUAGAAUAAAGACAUUUUACAUGAAAUAAUCUAUCUCUACAGUGAUUGUUUUAUUUUCCUCUUUAAAGGGAGGUCAUCCAGUGAAUACAGAAAUAUAAGAAAGGGAUUUUAUCCUAUGAACCAAAUAUGAUGGGAAAAAGUGAUAUUUGAACACUGGGCUUCAUUUUUACCACACUUUUCUAAUUGCCUCUCUCUGCUCCAACAUUUCCCUACAGUAAAAUUUAGCAUUAUAGUUCAGAAUAAUAAAUUGCAUUUGGAUUAUGAAUACAAAUAGAUUUUUAGCUUUCCUCUUUCUGUCAGUUCUCUCAAUGCAUAGGCAGGCUUUAUUUGUGUAAUUCUACUUUCUAAGGACAUCCACAAUCAGAGGCCAAUCAAUGACUGUCAGAACCUGAAUCUAUGCAAUUUUAAUUUGUACAAAAGUUGUUGGUUGCUAACCUUGGGGAGAUUGUGCAUCUCUAAGAAACCAAAUCUUUGAGAGCUCUCCCUGGGAAAUGAUGUUACACAUGAGCAGAAAAUCCAGGCAAGAAAGGCUAAUUGAAUGAAGAGAGAGAAUUAGGUUAAAAAAUAGAGUACAAUCUAGUAUCACAUUUUCACUAGUGUAACUUGAAAUGAAGGUGUCUUCAAGUCGCCAGUGAUGCCAGAGUGUUUAGAUGUUGGCCACAGAUGGGAACACCUAUUGAAAUGUGUCUGAAGAAGAUUAAUAGGGCUUGUCACUGUUGGGAAAGCACUGCUUUGCUGUAAAUUUCUACCAGCACAAGAUGAAUUACCGAUGAAUGCUCACUUAUCAACCCCAUCACUAUCGUUCGACACUAAAUCAAAUUGAGAAGUUAUCUGCAAUCAGAAAAUUUCUUUUUAAAAUAGACACACACCUUUAGACCCCAACUGUUUAAUAAUCCCAUGCACAAAACAAUUCUCUAUACCACAAUACUUCUUUAGCUUAAUUGGAAUUAUUCUCAAUAAUGAAUAUAUUAUUAAGUUCCCACACAAUGAAAAGCUAAUCAAACACCAAAGUUUGGCAGUAUUUUAACCAGUGUGUGAAGACUUCUUGGGGGUCAUCAUUUAAUACUUUAUAAAACAUAAACAUGUUAUUUUUUUUUUCUUUUAGAUUUUUCUUUACUGGGAAGACAAAAAAAAAGUGGGUUUACUAUUUCAAACCCUUCAAUAUAAGAGGUGUUUCAUGCUCUGUUAAAAUUGUGAGAAUUGCAAGUUUUAUGCAGAGAACAGUAGAUUAGGAUUAAAUGAUAAUGGAGGACAAGCACUUUUAAAAAAAUGAUAUAAGGGUGUUUCAUGUAAUUUAGUUCAGGGAGUAUUGGGGAUUGAGUACAGCACCUCCAGAAUAGUAGGCAUGUAGUCUAUGACAGAACUGGUCCCCAACCUUCUUCAUACCUCAUUUUUAAGUUGGUUUAUUUGAGAAGCAAAACACAGUCAUUUCUUUUUAUUUUCUGCUAAACAACUCUAAGCAUCCAGAAGUUUUCCAACUCAGGGAUAAUCAUAUUUUGAUAAAAUCAUCAACUCUUGCAUUUCUACAGGGCUCUUCCUAUUUAAAAAGUGUCUUAUGCCUGACUCAUUUGAUUUUUUUGGUGCUGGGGAUUGAACGCAGGGCCUUGUGCAUGUGAGGCAAGCACUCUACCAACUGAGCUACAUCCCCAGCCCCUGACUCAUUUGAUUUCUAUUGAAAUCCUGUUCAGGCAGGUAUUCUGAAUUCCUAUUUUACACCUGAGUAAACUGAGGCUCAGAGUUUUUCAAACUCUAUUGACGUUAGAAAACUAACAGAAGCACCAUUUGAAACUAUGUUUUCUGCGUUCCUUUUAGUAUUUUUUUUCACUCCAAGUCAUUAUGUAUAUAAAAUUAUGUAAAUGAAGAAUAAAACUAUGAUGAUGAUGCUUGCUGCAGUUAACACUAUCUGCCAAAACUAUGGUCAGCAUUUACAUGUUGUUUUAUUUCAUCUCUAUACAGUUAUUUUAGAUAGAUACUGCUAUUAUUUCUAUUAUCAAAAAAAAUGAAAACAAAACAAAAUGAUGCUUACAGAGAUUGAGGACUUGCCUAAAAUUCUUAUUGCUAGGAAGUUGGAAUGUGUUACUUAAAUCCAGGAAGUCUGAAUGCAAAGCCACUGCUCUAUCCUAUGUUCCUGUUUUCAAUUUUAAGGAACAUUGAAUUAUUCUGGAUGAUCACAGAAGUCUCACUUAUUUUCCAGAAUGUAAAAAUUUCUCAGAUUCUGAGACAGUGUUAUGAUGAACAGGCCCUGGUUUGGAAAUAAAGAGAGCUGGGUGUAUUCCUUUUAAAUUUAUUUAACUUAUUUAUUUAUUGUUGUUGCAGUCCUGGGGGUGAAACCCAAGUCCUUGGGCAUGCUAGUCAAUGAGUUAUACCCCAGUUAUACCCCACUGAGUUAUACUCCAGUCCUGUCACUUGGCUUAAUUAUUUACUAAGUAGGUGACCUCAACCUCAUUGGUCUUUUUUUUUUUUUUCAUCAUCUCUAAAUUGGGGUGACUAGAUCUAGUGAGCCUUUGUAUAUUGCUUUUGGGUGCUUCUCUCAUUCAUGAUUUCUAAGAGGAAAGAAAAGGGGAACAGAAAAGAAAUAACUAUCUCUAAGGGUGUUUGGAGACAGUAACAUUCAGAGGUUGGAGAAAACAUGGCUCCCAUUUCUAGGAGAUGGGUAUUGAGUACACUCAGCAUUAGUUGAGGUCUCUAUUUUCUUUUUCUUGCCUCCAGAGAGCACUAAACACAAUCGCCCCUUCCUAUCAGAUGGGGAUCAGUUCCAGGACUCCCAUCAAAUAUCUAUCAGAGGAUGCUCAAGUCCGUUAUAUACAAUACUUUUUAUAUUUAUGUGUAACCUAUGAACAUGCUCCUGUUUAAAUAGUCUCUAGACUUCUCAUUACUUAAUGCAAUGUAAAUAAUAGUUAUACUUUCUUGUUUAGAGAAUAAUUACAAGGAAAAAAGUUGGUGUGUGUUCAGUAUGAGCACAAUUUUGUUUUGUUUUGUUUUUUGGCCCUCUUUGAUGCAGAGAUCUGACUUUACCUGAAACAAUGGAGGUUCUCUAGAAAACCAUAUAGUUUAAAUUUGAUUUUCCAAGUAAAAGCAAGAAGAUAAACUGGAGGUUUGUAGAAGUUAGGGGACUUACUCAGGGUCAUCCAACUAAUUGGUGACACAGUUGAAACUGAAUCCUGUUCCUCAAACCAGGAAUUGCCACCACCUCCACCUCACCCUUCCAAAAGCCCAAAAAACCAAAAACCUCUCCUCUACAUUAUGCUCCUUAUUCAACAAAAUACAUACUUUCCAUCAGCUGGUCAUGUUCCUGUUAUAACUAUUUCUCUAUUUUAUGAUGUGAUUCUUUGUGUGGGUUAUUAUUAGUUGUAAUAUGAAAUUUUCCUAAUUCUCUCUCACAAUCAUUUUUCAUAAAACCUAUUAAGCUAACCAGCCAAACAGUGGAAGCUGCAAAGAAGAAUCACAGUAUAAUAAGAAUACUCUGUAAUCUCCAUUAGGUCACAAUAAUACUCGAAUCUGUAUUUAUUACAAUCUUCCUCUGAUAACUUCCAAGCCAAAAUUGCUAGAUUUAUAUUCUCUAAUGGUUCCCAAUGGGAAAAACCUGUGUUUUUAAAUCUUCCUUUUCCUGUCCCAAAUCAUCCUUCCAGAUACAUUGCUUGCUUUGGGAACCCCCGUCUGGGUUUAAUCAGAAGUUGCAAGACAAAAUGUGCAUUAUUAAGAAAUAUAAAUAUUUUCAGAAGCAAUCAAAGGGAUGAAAGAUUGAUUCAGCAUGUAGAUUGGACCUAAUUUGAAGCAGCUUUGUUCUAAUGAGAGCUACUGGGACAGAAAGUUAGGAGCUGUCAUGGCCACCAGUUGGAAUUUCCAAUGCUUUGGAAUAACCUGUCAAGAUUCCUCUUACUAGAUAUGCUGAAACUUUUUGCAAGGUACAGUUUCCAGUCUGUGUCCUAAACCACCCUCCUUGCCAUGCUUAGGGACUUAUGAUAGUCAGCUUUGAGAAAUUAUGACUAAUUCCUUCUCCUUAGAGUUUACAUCAGCAAGUACCUCCCUUUUCAAAACUCGGAAGUUGGCUUAGCGUUAACUUUCAUAAGAACAUUUUGGCCUGAAGGCAUCUGUAUUACAAUUUCUUUCUUGGCUUAAUAAAAGGUAUCACAUUAUCUACCUGGUCAAUCUCUAUUGGCUUUCAAAAUAGAGACAUGGAAAAACCUAAUAAGCCUCAUUAGUAUAUCUGCUUUAAAAACAACAGGCUGCCUCAUUCAGCAUGUUGCUUUGAAAUGUCCCAGCAGAUCUGGGUGGUCACUGCUUGAAUACAGGUAUUGCUAAUUUGGGAUCUUUGUUAGUCUGGUAGCUCUGGAAAAAAAAAAAAAGCCAAAUGUAUAGGUGGAAUUUUAAUACACAAAGGAUUAAACCCUGAUUAUUGUAUUUUGUUUUUGUUUUCUUUCUUUCUUUCUUUUAAUCCCACUUUUUGUCCGAAUGGCCAUGUGUGAGAGAUGGCUUGAUUUUCUUGAUAUGGUUCACCCAUCCACAGCUGGAAUUCCAAAGAGGACUGAAAAUGUCUUUAAAAUCAACACAACUCAGGGAGCCUGAGAGAACAAGUUUUCCUUUGUUGUAGGGUAUAGUAUUAUUUGCUGUAGGUUUUUUGAUAUACAUUCUAAAUUAGGCCUGCAAAGGCAUGCUUCAUCUUUAAUUCAUCACUCUCAGCUGAAAGAGAUUAGCAAUGUCUAGCACGCACCCCUCGUAUGGUGCUGACCUCAUCAAGUAUGGCCUGAAAUUAAUUAGCCUCAUUCAUUCCAAAUGGAAAAGGAUAAUGGAGCAGCAUUUUAGAGAUGACCAUCACAAAUUGUAUGCAGCAUAUUUAAAAGGCCCCUAUUUUCAAACCAUGUAGAUUAAAAUUCUUUCCAGGGUUUACAAUAUGCCUGAGUUAUCAAGGACCCAAAGCAGAGCCCAGUCAGGCUUCAUGCAUGUGUGUAUGUACGCGUUCGUAUGCGUGCAGAGUUGUAUGUUGCAUGAGUACCAGUGACCAUGUUUAGAUACGUCCAUUAUUUAGCUGCCUGGUUCUCUAGGAUGACACCUGGAAUAUUUGAUCAACAAAUAUCUGUUGUUUAAUAUUGUUUAAAAUGAUUCAGUAGUGGAAAAUAUUAAGUGGACUUUUUCGGUUUUUGCUGUUAAGUGGAACAUGCCAGCACAAACUUUGCUGUUUUUCAGUAAGAUGCGAUUCAUUCUCUAAUUUAGAAACAGAAAAGCUUCUUAAAGAAACGCUCAACUUUCUAUUUUGAGUUAUUUUUGAAACUUUUUAUGUCUUUUCCCAUUCCCUACUGUUUGAUUAUAAGUUAGAUUACAGAAUCCCUUAAAUUUAUCAUCUUGCUAAGAUUAGCUGGUUUUUCUCUUUUGGGGAUUGAGUAAGGGAGGUCAAAAUUUUGAAUAUCAAAACUGCUUUCUUUUCAAGCCAACAAAAUCUUGACCAGGGUUCUUUGGGAUUCUCAAAGAUGUUGUAAAGUUUAUUUUUAUGAGCAGAGUUUGGGGACUACAAAUGGAAGAAGAAAAAAAGAAAAAGCAUGACUUUUUUUCUGUGUGUUUUCAGCUUCUAAUUUUUUUUCAUUAGUAUGAAAAGUAGCCAAUGAAUGAAAAGGUAUUAUUCAUAUUUGGGGGGAAUUUUAUAUAGCGUACAUUUCUUUGUUUUCUAUUUUUUUUCCAGUACUGGGAUUGAACUCAGGGACACUCUACCUCUGGUUACUAAAAAGGGCUUAGGAUCCCUUUUUGUUUAUGCAAUUUUAUUUGAGAGAGGAUCUCACCAAUUUUGCACAGGCUGGCCUUGAACUUGCAAUUCUCUUAGUCUCUUAAGUAGCUGGGAUUAUAGGAGUGGGCCACCAUACCUGGCUUAUGGUUACUUUUCUUAAGAAAAAAAAAUAUCUCAGAAUAAUUUUGUUUCAUUAAAUUAACAGUGGUUGUUCUGAGUAAUGUUACUGAAAAGCUUUCAUUUAAUUCUUGAAGGGAAAAAUGCAUUUUAGGCAAAUAAUCUUUUCAGAGUUCAUUGACAGGAUUUUCAUAUAUGUUAUUUAAGAUUAUUUGGUUUUAUAAUAACACAGAAACUGCCAAGUAUGUUUCUCAUAUCUCUGCAAAAAUUAAGAUUUAGAAAUUUAUCCAAGUUUACUUUUGCCUAAUCUUCUCAUCCCAGAAGGCCCUUUUAUCUAAUGGGCAGUUAUCAUUUAUAUGUACAAGAUCAUCAAUCACUAACUGUGAACCUAUCAUUUUGAUAUAAAAGAUCUAUCCUUAAGUCUGCCCAAACCUCUAGCAUAUAAUUUGAGGAAAUUGACUUGCUUAAAGUCUGGGCUUCUGACAUCUGGGGGAUAAAAUGAAAAAUUGGGGAAAGCUUACAUUAUACACAUUUGAUUUUAAAAUCACAGUUUAACUGAGCCAGGGAUAAGAGGAUGAUGUGAUACAGAAUUUUACAUAUUGACAGAAAUAGAUCAUUUUGCUAAUCAUCAUCUAAAUAAUUUGGAAUUUUGUGGCAAAUAAACACAGUAGUAAAUAAAGAGGAAUAUUCUGUAAAAAUUGCUUUCUCAUUAAAGCAUGUGUUACCAAAAAUAUGAUGUUCUUCUAAUAAUAAAUGUGAAAUUUUAUUUAUUAUUGAGACAAAGGAAUACAUGCAUUCUAUAAUAUUGCAAUUUGUUCAGAGACUGAACAGCCUGUCUGAAUUUUUACUUAAUAUGUCUUGUCAACUGAGGUAAAAAUGUAGAAAAACUGUAAAUAUAAGGAUUAGGUUGUAUGAAAUUUGAGUUCAUUCAAAUAAAAAACUUAAAGUAAAACUCAGAUGAACUUACUCAAUUUCAUUUGGUAUCCACCUGAAGCUAUAAAUCUUUUGUUGGCAUUUGAAGGUAGAAAAGAGGUUCACUAAAAUUUAAACCAGGUUUUCCUAAACCCUAAACUAGACUCGCUAACUUUGGGGUAAACUAUGGUUCCAUUUUAGGUUCAUAACAAAACAUUCAUCCUAUUUUAGCUAAUGAUGAAUGGAUGAUGGGUUAGAGGAGAGGGAACUAGAAGAUAUUUUUGGAAUUGUUGUUUUAUUUUAUUUCAUAUUUCCUGUCAUGUUCUGUAUUAGGGAAGAGCAGUAUAAUGAGACAAAUUUUUAGUGAUGUCUGGAAAGAUGACAACAAACAGAAGAUCAGAGCAGGGAAACUGGCAGUCUUUGAAUUGCCAAAUAUGCAUAAUUUCUUUUUAAAGGAGAACAUGGAUGAAGAACUAACAUUUGUAAGGUGCUUAGUAUUCUUGAGCACUGUUCUAAGUGUUUCACGUAUAUUAAUUUAGUUUUCUAUCGCAAUCCCUGGCAAACACUAUUAUUUCUAUUCUCCAGAUGAAAAACACCAGGCAGAGGAAAGUCACAUAACUUGCCCCAAAGUCACACUGCUUGUCAAAGUGAUCUGACUCCCACAACCACUUGUUUUGGAGUCUCCACCCUUAGGUCUGGUGCUAUAUUGCUUCUCAAGGGAACAUACAGUUAUAGUGUUGUUUGGAAAAUGAACUGCAGCAGACUAUGAAUGGAAGGGAAGUCUUCCCUUCUUUUUGACUUUUGAGGGCAGUAGGAAAUUUAUGGGGAAAAGCCAAUUUUCUUAUCCCAGAAGUAGGUGGGGAAUUGGUUUCCCAAACCUCCACUUAGAAAACUACAUUAUAUGUAGGAUGCCUCAGUGUGCAAGGCAGAGGGGAACAAAGUGAAAUUUAAAGAAAGUAUGUAAUGACAGGGUGAGAGAUUGCCUUAGAAGGAAAGAUGGAAAGAACUAAAUAAGUAGAAUUGGCUAAGCAGUAGUUACUAGAGAACUAGACUGUGUUCUAGAAAUAUUUAGAAGAAAAAUGAGGGCCUACAAAUGUCAGUAGGGAGGUUGAAAAGAAGCAAAAAAGGAAAGGUAUAAGAGCAAAUCAAAUUAAAGUAAACUCUAAGAGUCUGUCAUUGUCUUGAGAGACCCACAAAGAAAGCCAUAUUUUCUUAGAAUAGUGAAGCCAUAGCCAGAGAUUUCAUAGGAAAAGAAAAUUUCAUUCCCUGUGUUGUACUUUGAAGCAGAGAAAUAGGCUAAAAACGAUAGUUUAGGGCUAUGGGUGUAGCUCAGAGGUAGAACACUCAACUAGAGUGCAUAAGGCUCUGGGUUCCAUUCCCAGUACCAUUAAAAAAAAAAAGAAAGGUUGAAAAAUGCUUUGCAUAAAUUGGCAUGGUUUGUGUGCACCUGUAAUUCCAGUAAUGCAGGAGGCUAAGAUAGAAAAACAGCAAGUUUAUGGCCAGCCUCAGCAACCUAGCAAGGCCCUAAGCAACUUGGUGAGACCCUGUCUCAAAAUAAAAAAGAAAAAAAUCUAGGAAUAUUGCUCAGUGGUGAGUCCCUCUGGGUUCAAUCCCCAGUCCAAAAAAUAAAAAUAAAAAGCUUUGCUGGGGCUGGGAUUGUGGCUCAGUGGUAGAGUGCUCACCUAGCACAGGGGGGACCCAGGUUCAAUUCUCAGUACCAUAUAAAAAUAAAGGCAUUGUGUUGUGUCAAUCUACAAAAAAUAAAAAAUUAAAAAAAAUAAAAAUUCUCUCUCUCUCUUUCCCCUUAAAAAAAGCUUUGCAUAAUAAUACAUGGAAUGCCCCCAUAUCCUUUAUGUUUACUAUCUCAUUUAAUCUGCAUUAUAUAUUUGUAAGGCAUAUGUAUUAUUAUUUCUACCUUACAGAUAUGGAAACAAGAAUCAGACAUUAUGUUACCUGCCCAGGAUCAGAAAGCCAAAAUCCCUCUAAGUCCUCCCCAAUCCUGGUCUCCUCCCAGAAGCGUACUCUGUGUACUCCCACACAACACCCCCACCAUUGUGCUCAGAAAGUGAUAUUGUAAAACAUCGUCUGGUUUUAUUCCAAAUUCAUUAUGCUGCAUUACCUGGAAGGAUCGUACUGAUAAGAACACAUUAUGCUGGAAGAAGACAUAGCCCUGCUUCUGAAAUCUGGCUGACAUCCUCUAGGAGGUGGCCCAGUCUGCUCAGUUUGUUCAGAAACUGUGCAUGUUGAUUAAACACACAGCAGUGGGUUUGGAUGUGGGACCAAAUGAGAGCCGGAUAUACAUAAGAAAAUGAAGAGGAACUCUCAAAGGAGGCCUUGAGCAUCCUGUGUCUACAGGCCCCCAAAUGAAAUCACCUGGCUGUUUAUAGGAAUCUUAGUGCUGAUGAAAAGACUGAAUUAACACUGCAAACUGUUCCCUGCCAAUAAAGAAAAGUUCCAGAUUCUUUAAAAAGUAUGUAAAGCAUCGAUCUGUAAAGUGGCAACAACAUUUGGGACCAAUUACCCAGAUUAGGCGGCAACAAUGGUCUGUUUACACUUUGUAGCCCAGAGCCCUUUGGCUCUGGUCCACAAGCAGGGGAUUGUAAAUUACAGGAAUUUCAGCCCAACAUUGACUUCUCUUUUGACCUAUGUGUCUGAGUACAGAGAAAAGCAGGUGAAAAAGUCCUGUUGUGACUUGCCUGAAAAAUGUCAAUGAAUAGGGAACUGAACAUUGUCUUCCAGGUAAAACACUUAACACAUAGACCCUCUGUAAAGGAGGCCUGGGUUUUAUCAUGCAGAGAGGAGUCUGGCUGACUACAAAAUGUGUCAGGAUAUAGUUUUUCAGUUUGCAAAGUUUCUCAAAAAUGAUUUUUGCAAGAGAAGUUAGGAAAUAAAGGCUGCCUGUCAUCUUUUGGUUACUUACCAUGCCCCUUCAAUUUAACUCCCUUUUCCAACACAUUGUGUAUUAGUAACAAAUGGUAGAUAGUGACAUUACUACCAUGAGAACUGUAUUGGUGGCAAUGAUUAGCCUAGGUGGCAGCAAAUACAGAUGUUGAGGGGAAAAAAUGCGUUUAGAACAUUUGGACAAAACUCACAAAUUUGAAUUGUUUGAAACUGAGGUGUAGAUUUCUCCCUCUUCUUAGGAGGAACAAUCUUCAUUUUUCAUAACUCUGGUAAUUCUAGAACUUUUUGAAAGUACUCUCUUUCCUUUAAUAUAAUCCUGAUGUUAAGGCUUUGACCUUUGGGUGGGGGGAAGGGGUGAAUAUCCACAGAGAUCAGGAAACAAGAAGAAAUGGGAAAAGUAGUCAUUCCCGAAGAGUAAGCUGCCAAAUGCAGCAGUGUGGAAAAGACAGAUUAUCAUUUUACCUGCGCUCAUAAUGGCAUGUGUUCAGAGUCUAAAAAUUCAGCCACACCAAAUACAACUGUUAGACCAUCAAAUUGGAAAUAACAACAGUCAAGGACUGAAUUCUUGUUUUUCAAGUUCUGUCACUUGGACAGUCAUUUAGAUGAAAACAGAAUUGAGGCUGUGAUAGUGUAGUGCUGUGGGAAUCUCAGAGCAGGAAAGCAUUUCAGUUUUGAACAAAUCAUCCUGUAUGUACUUAGUCUUCUAAGGCAACUCAUAGACGAUGCCAUUCCAGAUCCUUCAUACAUCAACAUAUUUUACUGAUAAAAAAAAACUGGUUGGAAAGCCAACUGUAUUCAACUUUGGAUUUUUCUGACUCUGGUUCAUCUAAAAAUUUUUUUACCAUUUUCUGCAAUGUCAGAGCUUCCUGACAUUUACAAUUAACUCACAAAUUAACUUAGAAAUGAUAGUAAGCUCUCAGCUAAAUGAUAUAGUGGCCACUGGGGACCAGACCAAUUUUCCAGAAUAAGGUUAGGACUGAGUUGCUCUGUAACAAUGCUAAGGUUGGUUGUAUAGAAGCAGUCGUUCAAAUGUGAGCAGGAAUCUAGGUGUAAGAGGACAGACAUUGUCGGUCUCUGAAGUUGGCUGGGUACUUGGCAUUCUGACAUUUCUUAACCUAAUAAAGCAGAGAUAAUCUGUUUACUUUUUCUUUUUUUUUUUUUUUUAAUUCAAGACUCCAUUACAAAAUCAAGAAGACAUGGACUUCUACUACUGGAAGGAAAAUUGAACAUUGGUCCAAAUUCCUGCUGAACUCAGGGUUUUGGAGAUGGAUAGAUGAGUGCAGAUGAAGACUGAGAAAUUUCAGGAGUUGCAGAUUCAAGG